rnacentral:rRNA from 1 species
GACGAACGCUGGCGGCGUGCUUAACACAUGCAAGUCGAACGGAAAGGCCCUGCUUUUGUGGGGUGCUCGAGUGGCGAACGGGUGAGUAACACGUGAGUAACCUGCCCUUGACUUUGGGAUAACUUCAGGAAACUGGGGCUAAUACCGGAUAGGAGCUCCUGCUGCAUGGUGGGGGUUGGAAAGUUUCGGCGGUUGGGGAUGGACUCGCGGCUUAUCAGCUUGUUGGUGGGGUAGUGGCUUACCAAGGCUUUGACGGGUAGCCGGCCUGAGAGGGUGACCGGCCACAUUGGGCCUGAGGUACGGCCCAGAGUGCUACGGGAGGCAGCAGUGGGGAAUAUUGCACAAUGGGCGGAAGCCUGAUGCAGCAACGCCGCGUGCGGGAUGACGGCCUUCGGGUUGUAAACCGCUUUCGCCUGUGACGAAGCGUGAGUGACGGUAAUGGGUAAAGAAGCACCGGCUAACUACGUG